rnacentral:rRNA from 1 species
GACAGAGGGUGCAAACGUUGUUCGGAAUUACUGGGCGUAAAGCGCGUGUAGGUGGCGAGGCAAGUCGGGUGUGAAAGCCCUGGGCUCAACCCAGGAAGUGCACUCGAUACUGCCUAGCUAGAGUCCCGGAGAGGUUGGUGGAACUCUCGGUGUAGAGGUGAAAUUCGUAGAUAUCGAGAAGAACACCGGUGGCGAAGGCGGCCAACUGGACGGUGACUGACACUGAGACGCGAAAGCGUGGGGAGCAACAGGG